AAAAGUUAAUAUUUCUCUUCAAGUGACCUACAGUAGUAAAAUCUUCAGCAAGAUUCUAAUAAUGGAAGAAUCCGGAGUAAUUAACAAAGUUCGGUAGUGAAUGAAAAGUGAAUACUCGUCUGAAAAUAAGAGUUUUCGUGUCCUAAAGGAAUACUGUCUAGAACAGAUGGCCAAGUCGUUCACAACUAUCGAUUCCAUCUGUGAAAAGUUUUGAGCGACUACAGGACCUGAGUUCAAUUCAAUAUCAAUAAGCGAUGAAAUUUGAAAUGUGGUGUAAUGAUCAUGAGACUUCAACCGACAAUCUGGUAGUGUAAUGUGUGUCAGGGACAGAGUGUCCCUGCCUCCAUAUGAGCGAGCAUCUACAAUGAGGCGCCCGACUAAGAUGGCUCUUUUCGGUAUGGUGUGGCUAUUGCGAAUGCGCAGUGAGAUGAAGCGAUGUGCAAAGUGUCGGCGCGAGUGUUUGAAAGAAAGACAGUCGUUAGAACAACAACGGACACCAGUUUCGAAUACAACGGACUUCACUAUAGAUACUCCUGCUACUUUGCCAUGUGCUGAAACUCUACUGAGCCCUGAAAGACUGACGCAUACAACGUACU